rnacentral:rRNA from 1 species
UACGGAGGGUGCAAGCGUUGUCCGGAUUUAUUGGGUUUAAAGGGUGCGUAGGCGGCUAAUUAAGUCAGCGGUGAAAUUCCACAGCUCAACUGUGGAACUGCCAUUGAUACUGGUUGGCUUGAGUACAGAUGAGGUAGGCGGAAUUGACAGUGUAGCGGUGAAAUGCUUAGAUAUUGUCAAGAACACCUAAUGCGAAGGCAGCUUACUAAGCUGUAACUGACGCUGAGACACGAAAGCGUGGGGAGCAAACAGG